UGUCAAAACAACUCAUUAACAGAGAGAGAGCCAAAAAGGAGAUUGUUAAUAUACCGCUUUGUAACUCCGGAAGCUCCUUUAAGAAGCUCUAUGGAGCAUGCUAAAAGAAGAGCUACUACAAACUACACACGCAAAGUAAAAAACUAUUAUAAAUUGGGCCUUCUAAAGUACUAAGAAUUAGGUUUUGGGCUUCGGAAAACCAAAUUCAGUUUACAUGUGAGGUCAUCAUGUUUUUUGUUAUGACAAAAAUUAAUUAAAUAGUAUUGUAGGC